rnacentral:rRNA from 1 species
CAACGUGAGGAACCUACCUUCAAGUGGGGAAUAACUGCCAGAAAAUGGCAGCUAAUACCGCAUGUGGUUGUCUGUUGGCAUCUUCGGACAACUAAAGAUUUAUCGCUUGAGGACGGCCUCGCGGCCUAUUAGCUAGUUGGUGGGGUAACGGCCUACCAAGGCGAUGAUGGGUAGCUGGUCUGAGAGGACGAUCAGCCACACUGGGACUGAGACACGGCCCAG